AUGCCUCCCUUGCCCCGAGACCGCUUUAUUGUGAGCUGUUUUCAGCAAGCCCGCCAUGCUGGAGAGCACAGGCAGCUGGCAGUGCCACGGCGGGUGGACGGACUGAGGCGUGUAGCACUGAACCGAACUGUGCAACCCCUCCACGAGUCCGGACUGGAGGGGGUGACGGGGCCGCGAGCUACCGCCGACUGCGCCGCAGCCGAGAGGAGCACGACAAAGCAGCAAAGGCGCCGCUGCGCCAAGGAGGUGCUGCACCAAGAUGGAGCGUCCAAUAGCUGCACCGAUCUGUUGUGCAGUAGCAGAUCUUCCCUUGGCUCCACGGUGGUGCUGCACCGUGCCUCAGAACGCCACCAUUGUGGCCCCACAGCUCAUAGCCACGCCGCUGACGCACACCACUCCUGGUACUGUCCCACAAGUGGAGCCGCCCACGCCCCUCGGCACCAUGGAAACGCCUGGAACCGCCCCUGCCCAGAGCUGAUUGGCUCAGCCCAGAAGCCGCGCCCGCGGUCCCGCCUCUGCUGGCCACGCCUGCCUGCCGCUGCUGGGGGCGGGGCCCGAGCUGAUGUCACGUGGUGUCCGAUCCAUACCCGGAAGUACUCGGGAAGCAGGGCGUGGAAUCCCAGCGCCGGACUCCGGUUUCGCACCUGCACCUGGUGCAGCCCUGGCUCCAGUUCAGCUACAGCGAAGGCCCCAUCAGCCGCAAGGAACCGAGGAAUCGCUGAUGGAAUCACGAGAUAUCACAUAGGGAACCUUUACCUUACUACCAGCUCCGAAGGACAAGCCCCUACAAUCCUGUUGUCAGAAGCUUCAACUCCAUUGAUGUUCAGAACAGAAACCAUCCCCACUCGAGACCCGCUGAUCUUUUGGAUGGAGUACAAUGGCACUCUGACAUCAAGAGAAUGGCUGCACAGCUAUAUCACGUAGGUUUUGCCACUCAUCCUGGAAUUCCAACAGGAAGACAGACUGCAACCACAAGACACCCAAAAUGAGGAAAUCACAGAAAAUGGGCUGCCACCUUGCCUAAUAUUUUUGGAGGCUUUUGUAAGUGAAUUGCUGUGGCAAAAGAUUGUACUUCAGUAACUGUGGACUCCUGAGGGGUACAAAAUAAUUGCCCCAAAACAGCUACCAGCAAAGGGAUUUUCAGAAUACAUAGCAAGGAUUCAGCAGCUGGCACAUCUCAUUCUUCAUGUUAAGCAGAAGUGAUCCAUCCUAUAGUACCAGUGUACAUGUUUAUAUGAGUAAAACUGAGGAAAGAAUGAUAGAAUGGGUGGAGAGUAAGUUUUGUUUAAAAGCAAUAUCACCUUUCCUUCUCAUAGGGUUUUGUAUUGAUUUUCAUUACUUUAAUUUGAAAGGAUUACAGUCCUUGUUUUUUUAAUAUAUCACCGUCAUAUUGGGUAUUCAGCAGCUUCUAGGCAAAUGUUCUAAAACUUGAUCUAUAGUUGUCAUAAAUCUCUGAUGAUUCAAUAAUCAAUGAUUAAUCCAUACAAAGUAGGACAGGUUGGGAUAUGGAGAGCUUCUCAUCUCAGACUUCCUGGUAUGAAGAAUGUUCCACCCUUUUAUUUGUGGGAGUACGGUCUGACAAAUUAAAGGAAGGUGAAUAUACACAUGCAAGGAUUGAGCAGUGGUAAACCAGGUCUACUUACUCUAGUCUUACUGCAAAAGCCUAAAAGUGAUCUCUGGCCCUUCCCUCAUUCACACACAUUUAUCACAUCCUGUGAAGUUUGGUGCAGAGAAAGACUUCUGCUAUCAGCAGCAUACUCGGUUGCUUGCAGUUCAAAUUAGCCUGUGAGGUGCCACUUGAGAAACUGCAAUGUAGUUUCAUGGAGAGAGUGUUCAAAAAGACCUUUAGAUCCUGAUUUCUCCAGAGACAGAGAAAUACCGUCUCUGCAGCAUUGUCUCUGAUGUCAACCUCAGGCCUCUUCUAUGAAAGAGAUGACAGUACUGCUUUCUCUCCUCUUUCCUCCUUAGCUUCUAUCUGUGUGCUAGGUGAGACCAUCCUCUCCAGGACUUCAAAGAAUGUAAAUUCUUAGCAUAUAAACAUUGACACUUCUAGGCAGAUUUUUAGGGUUUAAGCAUCAAGCAAAAUGGAACUUUUGGGAAUCUAAAAUUUGAAAGUCGGCACCAAGAGGGAUAACUGGACAACACUUGAAUGUGUAACUCUUUGCCUUGCUAGAAUUAUUAAUACCACUUCUUCCUUCCUGCAUUUUGACCUUCUUAGAAGAUCAUCUGGUUACUCUCAGACUACUUCCACAUUUGAAAUAAAGAGAAGCCAAGGUGAUAUAUAUGUUCA
rnacentral:lncRNA from 1 species